rnacentral:misc_RNA from 1 species
AACAUCGCGCACCUGCGGGAACCUGCGGAGGGAUCAUUAAUGAAAUUAGGUUGGGUUGUUGCUGGCCACUACUUUGGCAUGUGCACACCCUUCUUUAACUUUCCCAUUUACACACCUUGUGCACAAUAUGUAGUCCCUGUGGGGCUAUGAAUUUUUACAAUACAAGCUUAUAAUAACAUUUUUCUAAUUAAGAAUAAUAUCGUAUACAACUUUCAACAAUGGAUCUCAGAUCGGAAGAGC